rnacentral:misc_RNA from 1 species
GUGGUGGCCUGCGCCCGGAGGCGGUCGAGGAGUAUACUAAGAACGAACUUGCGCGUGAGGGCGAACUUGUAGAAGUUAGUGGGGUGGAGGACGGUGACCAAAUUGCGACGGAGGACGCGCCAAAGGGGACCGUAGAAGCUGGUACUGAUUUCAUGUUGGUUGCUGCUAAUAUAGAGCUCAGGAUCAACAGCGAGAGGACGGUUUGCGAAUGAAGCGCCUUUCUGGACGAGGGCCUCGUGGGCAAGGCGGCGGUCGGAAAUCAUAAUGGCGGGUUGCGAUGUUAU